UAAGCACUUUAUACUGUGAAACUGCGAAUGGCUCAUUAAAUCAGUUAUCGUUUAUUUGAUAGUACCUUACUACAUGGAUACCUGUGGUAAUUCUAGAGCUAAUACAUGCUGAAAACCUCGACUUCGGAAGGGGUGUAUUUAUUAGAUAAAAAACCAAUGCCCUUCGGGGCUCCUUGGUGAAUCAUAAUAACUUAACGAAUCGCAUGGCCUUGCGCCGGCGAUGGUUCAUUCAAAUUUCUGCCCUAUCAACUUUCGAUGGUAGGAUAGUGGCCUACCAUGGUGGCAACGGGUAACGGGGAAUUAGGGUUCGAUUCCGGAGAGGGAGCCUGAGAAACGGCUACCACAUCCAAGGAAGGCAGCAGGCGCGCAAAUUACCCAAUCCCGACACGGGGAGGUAGUGACAAUAAAUACUGAUACGGGGCUCUUUUGGGUCUCGUAAUUGGAAUGAGUACAAUCUAAAUCCCUUAACGAGGAACAAUUGGAGGGCAAGUCUGGUGCCAGCAGCCGCGGUAAUUCCAGCUCCAAUAGCGUAUAUUAAAGUUGUUGCAGUUAAAAAGCUCGUAGUUGAACCUUGGGUCUGGCUGGCCGGUCCGCCUCACCGCGAGUACUGGUCCGGCUGGACCUUUCCUUCUGGGGAAUCUCAUGGCCUUCACUGGCUGUGGGGGGAACCAGGACUUUUACUGUGAAAAAAUUAGAGUGUUCAAAGCAGGCCUUUGCUCGAAUACAUUAGCAUGGAAUAAUAGAAUAGGACGUGCGGUUCUAUUUUGUUGGUUUCUAGGACCGCCGUAAUGAUUAAUAGGGAUAGUCGGGGGCGUCAGUAUUCAGCUGUCAGAGGUGAAAUUCUUGGAUUUGCUGAAGACUAACUACUGCGAAAGCAUUCGCCAAGGAUGUUUUCAUUAAUCAGGGAACGAAAGUUAGGGGAUCGAAGACGAUCAGAUACCGUCGUAGUCUUAACCAUAAACUAUGCCGACUAGGGAUCGGCGUUUUCUAUUAUGACCCGUUCGGCACCUUACGAGAAAUCAAAGUUUUUGGGUCUGGG
rnacentral:rRNA from 1 species